UACGUAGGGUGCGAGCGUUGUCCGGAAUUAUUGGGCGUAAAGAGCUUGUAGGCGGUUUGUCGCGUCUGCUGUGAAAAUCCGGGGCUCAACCCCGGACUUGCAGUGGGUACGGGCAGACUAGAGUGUGGUAGGGGAGACUGGAAUUCCUGGUGUAGCGGUGAAAUGCGCAGAUAUCAGGAGGAACACCGGUGGCGAAGGCGGCAUCCUGGACCGGUAUUGACGCUGAGACGCGAAAGCGUGGGGAGCGAACAGG
rnacentral:rRNA from 1 species